AUUGAACGCUGGCGGCAGGCCUAACACAUGCAAGUCGAACGGUAACAGGAAGAAGCUUGCUUCUUUGCUGACGAGUGGCGGACGGGUGAGUAAUGUCUGGGAAACUGCCUGAUGGAGGGGGAUAACUACUGGAAACGGUAGCUAAUGCCGCAUAACGUCGCAAGACCAAAAAGGGGGACCUUCGGGCCUCUUGCCAUCGGAUGUGCCCAGAUGGGAUUAGCUAGUAGGUGGGGUAACGGCUCACCUAGGCGACGCUCCCUAGCUGGUCUGAGGGGAUGACCAGCCACACUGGAACUGAGACAGGGUCGAGACGCCUACGGGAGGCAGCAGUGGGGAAUAUUGCACAAUGGGCGCAAGCCUGAUGCAGCCAUGCCGGGUGUAUGAAGAAGGCCUUCGGGUUGUAAAGUACUUUCAGCGGGGGGGAAGGGAGUAAAGUUAAUACCUUUGCUCAUUGACGUUACCCGCAGAAGAAGCACCGGCUAACUCCGUG
rnacentral:rRNA from 1 species